rnacentral:rRNA from 1 species
AUUAAACGCUGGCGGCAUGCCUUACACAUGCAAGUCGAACGGUAACAGGUUAAGCUGACGAGUGGCGAACGGGUGAGUAAUGCAUCGGAACGUGCCCGGUCGUGGGGGAUAACGCAGCGAAAGCUGCGCUAAUACCGCAUACGAUCUGAGGAUGAAAGCGGGGGACCGUAAGGCCUCGCGCGAUCGGAGCGGCCGAUGUCAGAUUAGGUAGUUGGUGGGGUAAAGGCUCACCAAGCCGACGAUCUGUAGCUGGUCUGAGAGGACGACCAGCCACACUGGAACUGAGACACGGUCCAGACUCCUACGGGAGGCAGCAGUGGGGGAAUAUUGCGCAAUGGGCGAAAGCCUGACGCAGCCACGCCGCGUGAGUGAUGAAGGCCUUCGGGUUGUAAAGCUCUGUCGGGAGGGAAGAAGGCGCAAGCCUGACGGGUACCCUCGCCAAGAAAGCACCGGCUAACUCUGUGCCAGCAGCCGCGGUAAU